rnacentral:rRNA from 1 species
GUUAUAGGAUCAAGCGACUAAGUGCACGUGGUGGAUGCCUUGGCGAUUACAGGCGAUGAAGGACGUGCAAGCCUGCGAAAAGCUGCGGGGAGCUGGCAAUGAAGCUUUGAUCCGCAGAUGUCCGAAUGGGGAAACCCACUCCGCAAGGAGUAUCCCUGACUGAAUACAUAGGUCAGUGGAAGCGAACCGGGAGAACUGAAACAUCUAAGUACCCCGAGGAAAAGAAAUCAACCGAGAUUCCCUGAGUAGUGGCGAGCGAACGGGGAAGAGCCUGUACGUGAUAAUUCAAUUGUUAGCAGAACGGUCUGGAAAGUCCGGCGAUAGUGGGUGAUAGCCCCGUAUGCGAAAACAAUUGGAUGGUACUGAGCGUACGACAAGUAGGGCGGGGCACGAGAAACCCUGUCUGAAUAUGGGGGGACCAUCCUCCAAGGCUAAAUACUCGUAAUCGACCGAUAGUGAACCAGUACCGUGAGGGAAAGGCGAAAAGAACCCCGGGAGGGGAGUGAAAUAGAUCCUGAAACCGCGUGCAUACAAACAGUGGGAGCCUCGUAAGGGGUGACUGCGUACCUUUUGUAUAAUGGGUCAGCGACUUACGUUGUGUGGCGAGCUUAACCGAAUAGGGGAGGCGUAGCGAAAGCGAGUCUGAUAAGGGCGAAUCAGUCGCACGGCGUAGACCCGAAACCAGAUGAUCUAUCCAUGGCCAGGAUGAAGGUGCGGUAACACGUACUGGAGGUCCGAACCCACUAACGUUGAAAAGUUAGGGGAUGAGCUGUGGAUAGGGGUGAAAGGCUAAACAAAUCUGGAGAUAGCUGGUUCUCCCCGAAAACUAUUUAGGUAGUGCGUCGUACGGACACUUGCGGGGGUAGAGCACUGUAAUCGUUGAGGGGGUCAUUGCGAUCUACCUCGCGAUAGCAAACUCCGAAUACCGCAAAGUGAUAUACGGCAGACAGACAGUGGGUGCUAACGUCCAUUGUCAAGAGGGAAACAACCCAGACCGCCAGCUAAGGUCCCAAAUGCAUAGUUAAGUGGAAAACGAGGUGGGAAGGCAUAGACAGCUAGGAGGUUGGCUUAGAAGCAGCCACCCUUUAAAGAAAGCGUAAUAGCUCACUAGUCGAGUCGUCCUGCGCGGAAGAUGUAACGGGGCUCAAACUAUGAACCGAAGCUGCGGAUGCGUACUUAGUACGUGUGGUAGGGGAGCGUUCCGUAAGCCUGUGAAGGUGGAUCGAGAGGUCUGCUGGAGGUAUCGGAAGUGCGAAUGCUGACAUGAGUAGCGAUAAAACGAGUGAAAAGCUCGUUCGCCGAAAGCCCAAGGUUUCCUACGCAACGUUCAUCGGCGUAGGGUUAGUCGGCCCCUAAGGCGAGGCAGAAAUGCGUAGUCGAUGGGAAACAGGUGAAUAUUCCUGUACCGAUUCUUGAUGCGAUGGGGGGACGGAGAAGGUUAGGCCAGCCAGGCGUUGGAUGUCCUGGUUCAAGCCCGUAGUCGUGCCCGGUAGGCAAAUCCGCCGGGCUUAGAUGAGAGGUGAUAACGAGUCUGCUUGCAGACGAAGUGGUUGAUACCCUGCUUCCAGGAAAAGCCUCUAAGCUUCAGUCAAGAAUCGACCGUACCGCAAACCGACACAGGUGGGCAGGUUGAAAAUACCAAGGCGCUUGAGAGAACUCAGGAGAAGGAACUCGGCAAAUUGAUACCGUAACUUCGGGAGAAGGUAUGCCUCUGUAGCUUGUAGAUGAACAAUCGAAGGGCGAAGAGGCCGCAGAGAAUCGGUGGCUGCGACUGUUUAUUAAAAACACAGCACUCUGCAAACACGAAAGUGGACGUAUAGGGUGUGACGCCUGCCCGGUGCCGGAAGGUUAAGUGAUGGGGUGCAAGCUCUUGAUCGAAGCCCCGGUAAACGGCGGCCGUAACUAUAACGGUCCUAAGGUAGCGAAAUUCCUUGUCGGGUAAGUUCCGACCUGCACGAAUGGCGUAACGAUGGCCACACUGUCUCCUCCUGAGACUCAGCGAAGUUGAAAUGUUUGUGAAGAUGCAAUCUCCCCGCGGCUAGACGGAAAGACCCCAUGAACCUUUACUGCAGCUUUGCAUUGGACUUUGACGGGACUUGUGUAGGAUAGGUGGGAGGCUAUGAGACCGGGACGCUAGUUCCGGAGGAGCCGUCCUUGAAAUACCACCCUGGUGUCGUUGAGGUUCUAACCUUGGUCCGUGAAUCCGGAUCGGGGACCGUGCAUGGUAGGCAGUUUGACUGGGGCGGUCUCCUCCCAAAGAGUAACGGAGGAGUACGAAGGUCUUCUAGGUACGGUCGGACAUCGUACUGAUAGCGCAAUGGCAAAAGAAGGCUUGACUGCGAGACCCACAAGUCGAGCAGGUGCGAAAGCAGGUCAUAGUGAUCCGGUGGUUCUGUAUGGAAGGGCCAUCGCUCAACGGAUAAAAGGUACUCUGGGGAUAACAGGCUGAUUCCGCCCAAGAGUUCACAUCGACGGCGGAGUUUGGCACCUCGAUGUCGGCUCAUCACAUCCUGGGGCUGUAGCCGGUCCCAAGGGUAUGGCUGUUCGCCAUUUAAAGUGGUACGCGAGCUGGGUUUAAAACGUCGUGAGACAGUUUGGUCCCUAUCUGCCGUGGGCGUUGGAAGUUUGAGGGGGCCUGCUCCUAGUACGAGAGGACCGGAGUGGACGGAUCUCUGGUGUACCGGUUGUGACGCCAGUCGCAUUGCCGGGUAGCUAAAUCCGGAAGAGAUAAACGCUGAAAGCAUCUAAGCGUGAAACUCGCCUCAAGAUGAGACUUCCCUGGGACUUCGAGUCCCCUGAAGGGUCGUUCAAGACCAGGACGUUGAUAGGUCAGGUGUGGAAGCGCAGUAAUGCGUUAAGCUAACUGAUACUAAUUGCCCGUGCGGCUUGAUCCUAUAACCCUGAA